AACUCUCAAGCAGAGAUAGCUUUGUUGCUAUUUUUGCUUGGAUUUGGACUUUUGCUGUGUCAAUGCGGCUGGUCUUAAAUGUAUUAGCUGAUCCUUAUGUGGUUUGGUUCUACUCAGCGUGGUAAUUAUCUAACGUUGAGGACAGUCUUUUAGGGACUGGCCAGAGCUUAUAUUUGGGUCGCUUCUAAUUGUCCUUUGGACAUACUAUUUGAUU
rnacentral:misc_RNA from 1 species